CAAAACCCUUGAGUACCCACCGCGUUGCUUUGGCGGGCCGACCCGGUUUCGACCCGGACGCCCGGCGGCCCCAGCCUUAUCCGGCCAGGACGCCCGGCCAAGCGGCCGCCAGUCUAGGAGACUCAAGCAUCAUCCGUGAAGUCCUGACGCACCAUUCAAUUGACUAAAACUUUCAAAACGGAUCUCUCGGAUCCGGSAUCGAAAAGGAACGCCUGGAAAUGAUUUAAGAAAUGCGAAUUGCARAAUUCYYUGAAUCAUCAAAUCUUUGAACGCACAUUGCGCCCUCUGGUAUUCCGGGGGGCAUGCCUGUUCGAGCGUCAUUUCACCCCUCAAGCUACUGCUUGGUGUUGGGCGACGUCCGCUGCCGGACGCGCCUCGAAGACCUCGGCGACGGCGUCUCGGCCUCGAGCGUAGUAAAACAUCUCGCUCUGGAGCGCCGGACUAGGGCGGCCGCCGGACAAUCGACCCUUCACGCGCUGCAAACUUCCAAGGUUGACCUCGGAUCAGGUAGGGAUACCCGCUGAACU
rnacentral:rRNA from 1 species